rnacentral:rRNA from 1 species
GAUGAACGCUGACAGAAUGCUUAACACAUGCAAGUCAACUUGAAUUUGGGUUUUUAACUUAGGUUUGGGUGGCGGACGGGUGAGUAACGCGUAAAGAACUUGCCUCACAGCUAGGGGCAACAUUUGGAAACGAAUGCUAAUACCUAAUAUUAUGAUAAUAGGGCAUCCUAUAAUUAUGAAAGCUAUAAGCGCUGUGAGAGAGCUUUGCGUCCCAUUAGCUAGUUGGAGAGGUAACGGCUCACCAAGGCGAUGAUGGGUAGCCGGCCUGAGAGGGUGAUCGGCCACAAGGGGACUGAGACACGGCCCUUACUCCUACGGGAGGCAGCAGUGGGGAAUAUUGGACAAUGGACCGAGAGUCUGAUCCAGCAAUUCUGUGUGCACGAUGAAGUUUUUCGGAAUGUAAAGUGCUUUCAGUUGGGAAGAAACAAAUGACGGUACCAACAGAAGAAGUGACGGCUAAAUACGU